AUGUCCCUGUCCUCCCAGUGCUGGGUGACUCACCGGCUGGUCCUGCAGCUUCCCAGGAAGCUGGGCACGGAGACACCUGGGUUCAGGUAUCUGCAGCCGGGUGGCUCGGCCUCGCCUGCCGGAAGGUGUAGGUGUCCUUGGCUGCAGCAGCCACGAACCACAUCAGAGAGGUGGCUUUCUCAGGGAUGCUUCAGCACCGAGGCAUUUGGGGAGUGUUGUUUUCUGUCAGCAUUUGAUUUGGGGAGACCCUGCCAGAACUUGGCUGCUGACAUGACUCCCUCCCAACCGGUCCCUGCAGCCGUACCAGGGGUUUGGGUCACUUGGGGGGUUCAGGGGUCUCUGGGGAGGAGAGGGCAUUCCUCGUGCUGGGGCAUCCCUCCAGGGACACCCAUGCUGGGGCAGCUCCCCCACGUGUCAGGGGACAAUAUUAACCAGAGAAAAUCACCAUCAGCAGGUGUCCCUGUGCCUGACGGGCCCCACGGUGUGGAGCUCGUGCACCGGUGUUCCCGGAGCAGAGGUGUCCCAGGGCACAGGGCCAACCAUGCGCCAUGGACCUGCCCAGCCGUGUGGGACCUGAGGGGGAGCGUCACCUGGACUGCAGGCACCACCUCGCCUGCUCUGCCCGUGCUCGUCUGGCCGAGCCACACCAUCAAUGCACUUUUGAAGGAAGGAAUAACAAAAAUGUCCUCUUUCAAAAACCACAAGGAGCCAGCACCCAAGGGAGGGGCACAGGCAGGCAACCGUGGACAAAGAGAAAAGACAAAAAUCCUUUUUAUUCUGGAUUGGAGGUAUGUGAUUGCACAACCCCUAUCUCUGUGGGAAAGGAGCUCUCAAGCAUCUCCCGCCCCGGCACGUGAUUCCUGGGAAACAGAUCGGGGAGGCUGGCUGGUGCUUCAGGCUGCCUGGCCACCUGGGGAGGAGGAGAAGCCAGGGGAGUGCCAUGGUGGCAACUGCCUCCUGCCACCCUUUCCAGGAACUCGUUUAUCGCUUGGCUUCCCAUCUCCCCAGCAGAAGAGUCUCCUGGGCACGGCCAGGGGAAGGACACACGCUGAUGGGCUCAGAUCCCCCCAGUGCCAGCGCAGGCUGCCAGCCCCCCAGGUGCCAGCACGGCCCCUCUGUCCUCCUGGCCCCCCUCACCCAGAUCCUCGCCCAGGGGUCCCCUGCUCACCCUCUGGUACAGCUCAAAGGCUGCUGGUGAACACGCACACACAACCCACCCCCCACCAGGAUGGGGGAGAUGCUCGCCCCCCCAGGCACAUGGGCUGUGACCCAUAG
rnacentral:lncRNA from 1 species